GACGAGGUGGCCGCGAGGGUUAAGGCGAUGGACUGCUUAUCCAUUUGGGUCUGCUCGCGUGGGUUCGAAUCCCAUCCUUGUCG